CCUACGGGAGGCAGCAGUGGGGAAUAUUGCGCAAUGGGCGAAAGCCUGACGCAGCGACGCCGCGUGAGGGAUGAAGGUCUUCGGAUCGUAAACCUCUGUCAGCAGGGAAGAACGGUCACUGUGCUAAUCAGCAGUGAAUUGACGGUACCUGCAAAGGAAGCACCGGCUAACUCCGUGCCAGAAGCCGCGGUAAUACGGAGGGUGCGAGCGUUAAUCGGAAUUACUGGGCGUAAAGCGCUCGUAGGCGGUAUGUCAAGUCAAGGGUGAAAUCCCCGCGCUCAACGUGGGAACUGCCUUUGAAACUGGCAAAGUGGAGUGUGUGAGAGGAUAGUGGAAUUCCAGGUGUAGGAGUGAAAUCCGUAGAUAUCUGGAGGAACAUCAGGGGCGAAGGCGACUAUCUGGCACAUAACUGACGCUGAGGAGCGAAAGCGUGGGUAGCAAACAGGAUUAGAUACCCCUGUAGUC
rnacentral:rRNA from 1 species